UCCUGGGGAGGAUGAGAAACAACAUACAAAGUCAGUAUCACAUUUAGCAAGGAGGGGUUAUGGGAAAGACCAAGAAUAUUCAGCAUUUGUCAUUUCAUUUGUUUCUGUGGAUUUGAGCUACCAUCUGGAGUCAUUUCCUUAGCCCACGCUCUUUCUUAACUGAAGAAGAUAGAAACAUUGCAGAUAAAGUGAUGAUUUGGAAAAAACGAGAAACCUAAAUUCCCUCCAGACAAUACAUGUCAGAUGAAUGAGAAAAACCCUCAUUGAAAUGGAUUAUUCAGCAUUUAUGACUGAGAGGAUGCUGAGUAGCAACUUGAGCAGCAGAAAGAAAAGAGGCAAAUGGAAAGGAAUAUCAGAAGAAACAGCAAAAAGGGUUCAUGUUGAGAAGUGGAACUCAGGGAUGGAGAACAGAAAUGAUACUUGAACUCUUGUUUUAAUUAAAACCUCUG